GAAGCGCUCGAGCUACAGCUUGGCACUGGGGCAACUCUAUCAGCAGGUCUGGAGAGCGGAGCAACCACAUAUCAAGAAUCCGGAGGGGACUCGAGAAGAGGCUAACGUGGAAGGGUGGACAUGAUGGGAGAGGAGUAGGGCUCGUACCUUGAGCUACUCCAUCUUUUGACUUGCACCGGUGACACGGUCUACGCCUCGGUGGCUUCCUUGAGCAUGCCAAAAGCUUCCUUUGACUUUGUGAUAGAAUUCCGGGAUGCUAUCCAAGAAUACUGUUGGAGAAACGUACAACUUGGCAAUAUGAGAUGGUAAUUCAUAUAUCAUUUGGGACUGAAUAUAUGUGCUAGCAUGGUUCUAAAAUUCAACAGUAUAUUAAAAUCUAAUUUAAGUGUUUGAAUAUGUAAGCAUCACUAAAAUUCCUCACCUAUACAGCUUUGGAUUAUUACUGCUCUCUCGAUACUCUCGCAAAUGUCAAUUCUCUCAAUGUGAAGAGAGAUAACAUGUGAAUUGCAAGUGAGAGUGCCAGAGAAAUGGCGAGCAAGAUGAUACAUGGCUUGUGAGUGAGAGUGUUGGGGGAUGGGCGAGUGAGAGGAAGGAAUAAG
rnacentral:lncRNA from 1 species